UAUUUAAGUAUUAAAGGUGCCACCUGCCCAGUGAUUUUUUCAACGGCCGCGGUAUUCUAACCGUGCAAAGGUAGCGUAAUCACUUGUUCACUAAAUAUGGACCAGUAUGAACGGCUAAAUGAGGGCUGCCCUGUCUCCUUUGUCCAAUCAGUGAAACUGAUCUUCCAGUCCAAAAGCUGAAAUAUACUCAUAAGACGAGAAGACCCUGUGGAGCUUUAAAUUUAUAUCAGCAACACCACAUAGCCUUGUAUGAUUAAAAAUUUUAAGUUGGGGCAACUUCGGAACAAAACUAAACUUCCGAGAACAAGAUGUGUAUCUUACAAAGGCCUACAAGCCAAAAAUUGACCCAGUACAACUGAUAAACGAACCAAGUUACCCCAGGGAUAACAGCGCCAUCUUCUUCAAGAGUCCAUAUCGACAAGAAGGCUUACGACCUCGAUGUUGGAUCAGGACACCCAAACGGUGUAGCCGCUGUUAAAGGUUCGUUUGUUCAACGAUUAAUAGUCCUACGUGAUCUGAGUUCAGACCGG
rnacentral:rRNA from 1 species